AUUGAACGCUGGCGGCAGGCCUCACACAUGCAAGUCGAGCGAGCGGCGGACGGGUGAGUAAUGUAUGGGGAUCUGCCCGAUAGAGGGGGAUAACUACUGGAAACGGUGGCUAAUACCGCAUACUAUCGGAUGAACCCAGAUGGGAUUAGCUAGUUGGUGGGGUAAUGGCUCACCUAGGCGACGAUCCCUAGCUGGUCUGAGAGGAUGACCAGCCACACUGGAACUGAGACACGGUCCAGACGCCUACGGGAGGCAGCAGUGGGGAAGAUUGCACAAUGGGCGAAAGCCUGAGGCAGCCAUGCCGCGUGUAUGAAGAAGGCCUUAGGGUUGUAAAGUACUUUCGGCGGGGAGGCGUUACCCGAAGAAGAAGCACCGGCUAACUCCGUGCCAGCAGCCGCGGUAAUUC
rnacentral:rRNA from 1 species